AGGUUAUGAUUGGGACACUUCCUCAAGAGGUCCUUAAAUCUCUCCCAUGUCUCAAAUAAUGAUUUGAUAUCCAUCUGAGUCAAUGAAGUGAUUUCUUUUUGAAGCUU